AGUAUAAAAGAGAGAGAGAGGCUUCUGUGUUCAUAAGGAAAUAGAGGGAGCUCGACGGUUUGAGUGGACGUUAAUACCUCUACAUACAUCCUGCUUUAACAUGAGUGGAACACAAGACGAUCCGAUGGAUGGAAACAACUCAGAUGGACGCGUAGAUGAUCCUUCUUCUCAACCCAAUGCGGGCUCCUCAGAGGCCAGCGCAGGAAAAGAGCAGACGGACCAGCCAUGUCAGUUCCAACCGUCCCCUCAGGAAGGUUGGCCCACUGCUCGCCAGUCCAGGAGUAACAAACGGCAUUCUGACGGACUCUCUUCGACAACGACGGAUGCCUCACGAUUCUGCCAAGGAGAACCACCUGGAUAUUCAUUACUAGAGGGAUGCAGAGAGUCCAGCUCCGAGCUCAGUGAGGCUGGUCCCGACUCCAUGCAGGAGAGCAUAGUGGGCCAGGGCACAGCGGCCACCGAUAGACGGCGUCCAUGUCCCCAUGAACACCGCCCUUCUGGUGACUUCUCUGGUUCCAGCUCCUCACAGGAGGGCAGGGCAGACCAGGGAGCAGCAGUAACCAUCCGAUGGUGUCUCCACCCACACUAACACUACCCGUGUGCUGUAUUUUCCGCAGAUAACAGCGACGAUGACCUUUCUUCCCAAUCCAGUGGGGGCUCCUCAGAAGACAGGGCAGGAAAGAUGCCAAAGGCCCCGUUAUCUGAGUCCCAACUGUCCACCCAGGGAAAUGGCCCUACUGUCCUCCAGUCCAGGAGAAACGAACAGCAUUUCGGUUAGAAUCCAAGAGGGGGUAGCUCUGUGGAUGAAACUGAGUCAUCACAGGAACUUAAAAGAAAGAAUGAAGUUCGUGCAGCAGAAAUAAAGAGGGCCCGAAAAGAACUGAAGCCUGUGCUACAACCACGAUAUCUGGAGUAUGCUGAGCGUUGGAUGGAAGAAAAUGGUGUUGAACCUAAAGAGCUACUGGAGUUUGUGAAAUCCUUGCAGAAAGAAACAAAGCCGUCUGCAUAUUCCUACAUAUCGUCAUGGAAUCCUCUUUCACGCUUCACCACCGUGACUCUCAGUUCUGUGGUCACUGGACAAACGUUCGGAGCUCACCAAGUCAUCAUCAGUCAGCUGAAGAUCAGACAACUGAGAGUGACUGAGCUUACCCCCAAAAACCAGCACCAGUGUGAGAGCAUCAUCCUUUUCUGUCCAAUUACAUCCAGGGCCGGGUCUGACGUGGAAGCGGCGAUGAGGAAUCCAGCAGUGGCUGCCACUGACAAGCGGAUUUUUCUGGUUCUGCUGUAUCACACUCGAGAUGUCGACUACUCCACCGCUAGAAAGAGCUGCACAGAGAAGUUCCCCAGAGUUUUGUUUGAGUUUCACGUUCUCUUCCAUGAGACUCAGAAUGGCUUACUCAGAUGUGAACAGAACAGUCAGGCCAUCCGUGAAUUAAGAGAAGCAAUUUGUGCGCAAUUUGGUAUAAGUUAGAUCAGAGGGCUGCAAACAAAAGACUUGUCUGACAGCUCAGAUGCAGUUUUGUCUGUAUGUUGGAUCAGUGAAGAGAAAUCAUGAAACAACAAAGCUGUGACAGAAAUACAAAACCGCUGACAUGGCUGAAAGCAUGGAAAAUAGCUUCAGAAUAGAAAACUGUUAAGCCACUUCGGUACUCUCAACAAGUAAAGUAUCUUCCAUUGUGUAAACCACUAUGAACUGAUUUUUAAAAGGUUGCAGGUCUCUUAGUUAAAUUGAUGCACUUGUAAAAAAUGGAAACUAAGACAUUGGCUUGAUUUCAUCCUGUCAUGUCUGAGAGCAUCAACAUCUGUUUGUGUGUGUUUAUUUGAUCCUAAUAAAAAUCAGUGUGAAGAGGUCA